UACCUCGCCGGCUGGAAGGAAGCCCUUCCGGUCGACGAGGUACAAGUACCUCGUCGACUGGAAGGACACCCUUCUGGUCAACGAGGUACAAGUACCUUGUCGACUGGAAGGACACCCUUCCGGUCGACGAGGUA
rnacentral:miRNA from 1 species